AUCGAGCUGCCGUAAAAGCACAACACAAUGUGUUUUCCCUGUUGGGUUGGCAGCAAGCAGCACCAUGCGGUAAGCAGGGGUGUUGCAGAAACGCCGGAACUUAAUACCGGCAAA
rnacentral:sRNA from 1 species